ensembl:lncRNA
AUUUUAGUAGCACCCCCGUCCCAGACCCCAACUUUUGUCACUUCCCUGACCCCUAAGUAGCAUAGCCCAGUGUCACCCUGACCCCUAAGCAGUGUCAUUUUAACCUUAGAUUCCUGAUUAACUUACUUGACUGGCCUGCUAUGCAUGGUAGGGUCGCCUGGAUCAACCCACCACACCCAUCUAUUUAAAACUGUUGCCUCUCAGAGCACAAGAUUCUAAGAUUCCUCCUCAAUUCCGCCUGUACAAAGUCUCCACCACUGGCUUCUAGAAUGCUCUGUUCUCCAUGGCGCUUGUAAUUAUCUACGCAUGCGUUGGUUUCUGGCCACUGUUUUGCUCUGACUACUGGACUGGUCGAUUCUUGAGACUGUCCAGGUGGCCUGUGAGGCCCCCAAAGUUGCUUGAGGCCCAGCGUGAACCCCAGGUCUGACGGUUAAACUCCUACUCCUUGUCUCCUUACGGGGAUGCCCAGACUGGCUAUUAAGACUGCAUGAAUCAAUGAGUCAAUCAGGCUCAGUCCCAACUGCAGGACUCCAUCAUUGCCGCCCCAGUCUCCAAAAUGUCCGUACAGAUCAACCCCGAGAGUGAAGUGAAUCCAACAGUGACAUCGACAGCGUAG